rnacentral:rRNA from 1 species
UAGGGAAUCUUCCGCAAUGGGCGAAAGCCUGACGGAGCAACGCCGCGUGAGUGAUGAAGGUCUUCGGAUCGUAAAACUCUGUUAUUAGGGAAGAACAUAUGUGUAAGUAACUGUGCACAUCUUGACGGUACCUAAUCAGAAAGCCACGGCUAACUACGUGCCAGCAGCCGCGGUAAUACGUAGGUGGCAAGCGUUAUCCGGAAUUAUUGGGCGUAAAGCGCGCGUAGGCGGUUUUUUAAGUCUGAUGUGAAAGCCCACGGCUAAACCGUGGAGGGUCAUUGGAAACUGGAAAACUUGAGUGCAGAAGAGGAAAGUGGAAUUCCAUGUGUAGCGGUGAAAUGCGCAGAGAUAUGGAGGAACACCAGUGGCGAAGGCGACUUUCUGGUCUGUAACUGACGCUGAUGUGCGAAAGCGUGGGGAUCAAACA